UCGUAAUUGUAUUUGGUUUGAUUCCUGAAAACCUGCAUCAGUCAUUAUUAUAAUCGCAAUUGUUCUGAUUAUCGAAAGUUAUGGUACCUGUAAUUCUUGUUGCAACAAUGCAUUGUAGCCAAUAGU